UACAGAGGUCCCGAGCGUUGUUCGGAUUCACUGGGCGUAAAGGGUGCGUAGGUGGCUGGGUAAGUUUGAUGUGAAAGCUCAGGGCUUAACCCUGAAAUGGCAUUGAAUACUACUUAGCUGGAGGUUUGGAGGGGGGACUGGAAUUCUCGGUGUAGCAGUGAAAUGCGUAGAUAUCUGGAGGAACACCGGUGGCGAAGGCGGCAUCCUGGACCGGCAUUGACACUGAGGCGCGAAAGCCAGGGGAGCAAACGGG
rnacentral:rRNA from 1 species